GGAAUAUUGGACAAUGGGCGAAAGCCUGAUCCAGCCAUGCCGCGUGUGUGAAGAAGGCCUUCGGGUUGUAAAGCACUUUAAGCGAGGAGGUAGGGUUCUUAAUUAAUACUUAAGUGCAUUGACGUUACUCGCAGAAUAAGCACAGGCUCACUCUGUGCCAGCAGCCGCGGUAAUACAGAGGGUGCAAGCGUUAAUCGGAAUUACUGGGCGUAAAGCGCGCGUAGGCGGUUGUAUAAGUUGGAUGUGAAAGCCCUGGGCUUAACCUAGGCACUGCAUUCAAAACUGUACAGCUAGAGUGUAGGAGAGGAAGGUAGAAUUCCAGGUGUAGCGGUGAAAUGCGUAGAGAUCUGGAGGAAUACCGAUGGCGAAGGCAGCCUUCUGGCCUAACACUGACGCUGAGGUGCGAAAGCAUGGGGAGCAAAC
rnacentral:rRNA from 1 species